rnacentral:snRNA from 2 species
GGAUAUAAGGGUGAUUUGGCUGUGACAUCUGCCACCCAGCUGAUUGCCAGGGGUGAUUUGGCUGAUCUGGCUGGCUAGACGGGUGUCCCCUUCUGCCUCCCACUCAGUGUGCAUCCCUCUAAAACUGCAUGCUCAGUCGAAGAAGACAACCUUUCUCUAUAGAGGAGGACCAUUCUCCCACAGGGUAUGUGAGUAGCUACGCUCCCCUGCUAGAACCUACAAACAAGCUCUCGAGGUCCAUUUUUGCUUGUUAUUAUAUCCCCUGACCUUAAAAAAAGUGCCUGACAACAAGUAAAUACUUGUUAAAUGAG